rnacentral:rRNA from 1 species
GUUGUAUGGUUAAGUGACUAAGCGUACACGGUGGAUGCCUUGGCAGUCAGAGGCGAUGAAAGACGUAGUAACUUGCGAUAAGCCCAGAUUAGGUAGUAACAACCAUUUGAGUCUGGGAUUUCUGAAUGGGGAAACCCACGUGCAUAAGCACGUAUCCUUACCUGAAUACAUAGGGUAAGGAGGCGAACCGGGGGAACUGAAACAUCUAAGUACCCCGAGGAAAAGAAAUCAACCGAGAUUCCGAAAGUAGCGGCGAGCGAAAUUGGACUAGCCCUUAAGCUUUAUAGGCGUUAGGUGAACAAGCUGGAAAGCUUGGCGAUACAGGGUGAUAGCCCCGUAACUGACGACGCAUAUUCAGUGAAAUCGAGUAGGGCGGGACACGUGAUAUCCUGUCUGAAUAUGGGGGACCAUCCUCCAAGGCUAAAUACUACUGACUGACCGAUAGUGAACCAGUACCGUGAGGGAAAGGCGAAAAGAACCCCUGUGAGGGGAGUGAAAUAGAACCUGAAACCGUGUACGUACAAGCAGUAGGAGCAGGCUUUGUCCUGUGACUGCGUACCUUUUGUAUAAUGGGUCAGCGACUUAUAUUCAGUGGCAAGGUUAACCAUCUAGGGGAGCCGUAGGGAAACCGAGUCUUAACUGGGCGUUCAGUCUCUGGAUAUAGACCCGAAACCAGGUGAUCUAGCCAUGGGCAGGUUGAAGGUUGAGUAACAUCAACUGGAGGACCGAACCGACUAAUGUUGAAAAAUUAGCGGAUGACUUGUGGCUAGGGGUGAAAGGCCAAUCAAACCUGGAGAUAGCUGGUUCUCCCCGAAAGCUAUUUAGGUAGCGCCUCGGACGAAUACUACUGGGGGUAGAGCACUGUUAAGGCUAGGGGGUCAUCCCGACUUACCAACCCUUUGCAAACUCCGAAUACCAGUAAGUACUAUCCGGGAGACACACGGCGGGUGCUAACGUCCGUCGUGGAGAGGGAAACAACCCAGACCGCCAGCUAAGGUCCCAAAUUACUACUAAGUGGGAAACGAUGUGGGAAGGCUCAGACAGCCAGGAUGUUGGCUUAGAAGCAGCCAUCAUUUAAAGAAAGCGUAAUAGCUCACUGGUCGAGUCGGCCUGCGCGGAAGAUGUAACGGGGCUAAGUAGUAAACCGAAGCUGCGGCAAUAUACUUUUGUAUAUUGGGUAGGGGAGCGUUCUGUAAGCGGUUGAAGGUGUGUGGUAACGCAUGCUGGACGUAUCAGAAGUGCGAAUGCUGACAUGAGUAACGAUAAAGGGGGUGAAAAACCUCCUCGCCGGAAGACCAAGGGUUCCUGUCCAACGUUAAUCGGGGCAGGGUAAGUCGACCCCUAAGGCGAGGCCGAAAGGCGUAGUCGAUGGGAAACGGGUUAAUAUUCCCGUACUUCUUACAAUUGCGAUGGGGGGACGGAGAAGGCUAGGUGGGCCUGGCGACGGUUGUCCAGGUUCAAGUGCGUAGGCUGAGAGAUUAGGUAAAUCCGGUUUCUCUUAAGGCUGAGACACGACGUCGAGCACCUACGGGUGUGAAGUCAUUGAUGCCAUGCUUCCAGGAAAAGCCUCUAAGCUUCAGAUUGUAAGGAAUCGUACCCCAAACCGACACAGGUGGUCGGGUAGAGAAUACCAAGGCGCUUGAGAGAACUCGGGUGAAGGAACUAGGCAAAAUGGUACCGUAACUUCGGGAGAAGGUACGCUCUCGACGGUGAAGUCCCUUGCGGAUGGAGCUAUUGAGAGUCGCAGAUACCAGGUGGCUGCAACUGUUUAUUAAAAACACAGCACUGUGCAAAAUCGUAAGAUGACGUAUACGGUGUGACGCCUGCCCGGUGCCGGAAGGUUAAUUGAUGGGGUUAGACUUCGGUCGAAGCUCUUGAUCGAAGCCCCGGUAAACGGCGGCCGUAACUAUAACGGUCCUAAGGUAGCGAAAUUCCUUGUCGGGUAAGUUCCGACCUGCACGAAUGGCGUAAUGAUGGCCACGCUGUCUCCACCCGAGACUCAGUGAAAUUGAAAUCGCUGUGAAGAUGCAGUGUACCCGCGGCUAGACGGAAAGACCCCGUGAACCUUUACUACAGCUUGGCACUGAACAUUGACCCUACAUGUGUAGGAUAGGUGGGAGGCUUUGAAGCACGUACGCCAGUAUGUGUGGAGCCGUCCUUGAAAUACCACCCUUGUAGUGUUGAUGUUCUAACGUCGACCCCUUAUCGGGGUUGCGGACAGUGCCUGGUGGGUAGUUUGACUGGGGCGGUCUCCUCCCAAAGAGUAACGGAGGAGCACGAAGGUGGGCUAAUCACGGUUGGACAUCGUGAGGUUAGUGCAAUGGCAUAAGCCCGCUUGACUGCGAGAAUGACAAUUCGAGCAGGUGCGAAAGCAGGUCAUAGUGAUCCGGUGGUUCUGAAUGGAAGGGCCAUCGCUCAACGGAUAAAAGGUACUCCGGGGAUAACAGGCUGAUACCGCCCAAGAGUUCAUAUCGACGGCGGUGUUUGGCACCUCGAUGUCGGCUCAUCACAUCCUGGGGCUGAAGUCGGUCCCAAGGGUAUGGCUGUUCGCCAUUUAAAGUGGUACGCGAGCUGGGUUUAGAACGUCGUGAGACAGUUCGGUCCCUAUCUGCCGUGGGCGUUGGAAGAUUGAAGGGGGCUGCUCCUAGUACGAGAGGACCGGAGUGGACGAACCUCUGGUGUUCGGGUUGUGUCGCCAGACGCAUUGCCCGGUAGCUAAGUUCGGAAUCGAUAACCGCUGAAAGCAUCUAAGCGGGAAGCGAGCCCUGAGAUGAGUCUUCCCUGAUACUUUAAGUAUCCUAAAGGGUUGUCGGAGACUACGACGUUGAUAGGUCAGGUGUGUAAGUGCUGUGAGGCAUUGAGCUAACUGAUACUAAUUGCCCGUGAGGCUUAACCAUACAACACCCAAGGGGUUU